UUUCGCAUUGCCCGUUCUGUUUUUUUUAAAUCAAUUUUUAAGGCAACUUUUUGGGAGGGGGGAAAAAUGAGCGAGUUAGUGCCCAUUCGUUCUAUUUUCUUUUCUCCACUUUUAGAAAAAAGUGGGGGGAGGCUUCGAGAACGAACGGGGGGGUGUCUAAUUUAAUUCCAGGAUAAAUUUGAGGAAAAAAGUUCAGCCUCUUGAGGGCAGUUUCAAGUUGCCCUUCCUGGAGCUUCCUGCGUUAGUUUCUAGGCUGCCCUCUUUUGGAAGCUGUAGCUCCGCUGGGGAGGAGGGAGGAGUGAGAAGGAAAGAAAGGAACAAAAAUAGCCGGAGCCGAGGGGAACAAGCCACGGUGUCCGCGUUUGGAGCUGGGCGUGCGGGUCUCAGUGGCGGCCUCGGCAUUCGGGGCGGCGGGAGGCGCCCGGUGCAUCCCCGGGACGGCCAGGAGCAAAGACGGAGAGGAGAGGGGGGUUAGAGAAAGGAGGUAUUGUGUCUGUGUGCCUUAGGGGAGGAGGGGACUGCAGGAAUCGAAUAAACGCAGUCGAGCUGCGCGGGGCUGCUGGAAGCCCAGGCGGGGGAAGGGGGCCGUGUGUGGGGGCGCAGAGCGCCCUUGAGCCUUACGCAGAGGUCUUGUGUGUUCCUAGUUAAGCCCUCCCACGCCCGAGGCCCCAUCGCUUCCUCUCCACCCUCUUUACCCACCAAUAUUCCAAGCCCAGAUCCUAAUUCCCCACCGCAUUACCCCGCCCUGGAUUUGGGGAAUGUUUUUCUUUAUUUUAAUAUAGCUCAAGGAAAAAAUACGUAUAUCUUGAGAGAUUUGGGGUGGGGAAAACAAAAGCCUUGCGGAGUAGAAAAAACAAAGGCUUAUUUUUAUAAAUGUUUAAUGUUUUCACCCCCUGGAUGCUCCGAGACGCCGUAAUUGUGACGGCGGGGUACGUGUGCCAUAAAUCAUUUAGUUGCUAAUAAAAAUUCUGCCUGUUUGCCCUGGAUUUGCCAAUGGCGUUUGCAUUUUUCAAGUGUGCGCCUCGGCGGUGUGACGAACCCAGCCGGUAUUUCAUUAGGGCCGCGGUUCGGGGCAGAGGAGGUCCCCUCCCCGCCUGGGCUUUGUGCGCCCAGCCCCCUUGCACCGGCCCUUCCAUACCUGCCCCCGGCACCCACUCCAUAUUUGCGCGGCCCUGCAGCCACCGGAGUCCGGCCGGGGAGCAGGGCCUGGGGACGCGGUGGUGGUGGUGGCUCCCAGUUCCUGGCCACCAGGCGGGGCGGCCAGGACGCAUCCUGCCCACGCGGUUUUCCAGGGCUGCCGCGUGCUUGGGGGCGCGGGCGGGCCACGCGGAGAGGCCACCUGCCCGGGCCAAUCUGUACGCUCCGUGAUCUUCGCCCGCUCCCCGGCCCCGCGCCCUGGUGUCCCUGCAGUCGCUGAGUAAACAGCGACUGGGAGCCAUCUUGGGGCGGAGGACCGAUCCCAAGCGAAGUAGUAGUGGCUGCAGCCCGGGUGCCCCCAUUCGUAAAGGGGAGCCUCUAGGACAUCCCUAACUAGGCUUCAGGGUCCAGGGAAACGCCCUCCCCAGUAUGGCGGGCCACAUUGAAAUGUAAAAACCAGGCCUGGGCGCUGUGGCCAUAGGGCACAGGCCAUAGGCCACCAGGUCCAGCCGCCAUCUUCCGCGCCCCACCCCCAUUCCAUCCCCUCCCCCUCCCCACCCCCUCAUACUUUUGUUUACCCAGCGGGAUAGGUGGCCAAAAACUGUGGACGCAAUUGAGUGAAAGUGCGUGUGUGUGUGUGUGUGUGUGUGUGUGCGCGCGCGCGCGCGCGUGUCUGUGUGUGUGUGUGUUUGACUGGGUAGAAAAUCGGCUGGGGGCUGGGGGGGUCUUCCUUGUAGCCCUAAGCCGCAGCUGCGGGAGAAGCUGCCCUGGCUAGCCGAGGCCCGGCCCAGCGUGCUUCUCCGCGGCCAGCCUGGGCCACCGGAGCCGAGGCCUUCCCUGUGUUCCUAGGCCGCUGGCUCCGGCCUCCGCUCCCUGGACGCCUCCCGACUGACAAAAUUCUCCGUCUUUGUUUUAAAACCAAAGGACAGGCCAACCUUGAGCCCGGCCGUCACCCCUGUCGCGCUUUUGUUGGCGCAGGCUCGGCCCCCUACACCGGGCUGGUGCAGCUCCCGCGAUCAGACGGUCUCUCUCAAUUCGGCGUUGAACCCGGUUCUUCCCAAAUUCUGGUAUUGCUGGCCGCUUGGACACGUUCUCCCCUUAUCCCUCCCCCAGCGGGGAAAGAAAAAGCCAGGAUCCUUUCCUUGGCGCGGCCACCCGAGCCACUCCACCCGUCGCGCCAACCGCCUUUCCAGGUGGGGACCAAAGCCCCCACUCUCCGCUGGCAUCUCAUUGAAGGGCACCCCCCCGAGGGAUUGCCAGCUUCUGCUGCCAGCUGAGAGGCCGUGUGGCUGGGCGUCUUAAGCGCCGGUUUCCGCAGGUCCCGUGUCUGGCGGGCGCGGCUAAAACCCGGAGAGGCUGUGCCCGGGAAAGCCACGUUCGCCGUCCCCUCGCUGCGACAGGCCCAGCCGCGAUACAGCGCCAAGUCUAGGUCGGGCCAACCCAGCCAGGAGCUGCCCGGACCUGCCUGAAAGACCAGGGACGCGGCGCCAGCGCCCCACACCCCACCGAGACCAGGGCGCAAGGCGGGCAGAAUUCGGACUGAUGCGCCAGGCCCAGCCCCGAUGGAUUCCAGCUCCUCUCGGCCCCGCCUCCGGCCCUGGCCUCUUCCUCCAGCCGGGGUCGGGUCCUCCACUCCACUGUUUGGCUGGGAAAGGACCGAGACGCGCUCAGUGCACAGGGGGCCGGCUGCGGCCAUAAAUCUCCGGGCGGGCCCUCCUUCCCGCUGCUCACGCCGGGGUGCUCCGGGCCGGUCUCGUGUCCCGGGCCACGCCGCGCACCCUGCUCACCCCAUCACGGCCUGGGGACCCGGAGACUGCGCAGGGAACCACGCCAGGAGCUUCUCCGUUCACCAAAGAGAGGGAACGGCCUCGUUCCUCGGUGUCAACACCAUCCAUCUCUGAGGGCGCUGGACCCUGAGGUGGCCCGAGCUUCACAGGAUCACCGCCUUGGGGUAGGGGCGCCCGGGCCUGGCAUUUCCUCCUAGGAAGGCUCGGUGAGACUGGGAUGGGCAUGCGGCUCUCCGCUCGAGCCCAACUCCGGUGCCACCUGCACCACGGAGGGGUGACCCCAGGGUCAGGGUCAGAGCGGCUUCUCAGAAUUCAGCUUGCCACCUCUCCGCGGACCCUGCCUUCAUCUCGUGCCUCCUCAGAGCCCUCUGCGGGCGCAUGAAGGGCCUUUUUUUUUUUUUUUUUUUUUUUUUUUGGCACAGGUGGACCAACGGGGGGUGUGACUGUGGGCACCGUGCGCGGAGGCGGAGGCUCAUCUGGUUCCCACCCUCCGUGCCGCUGGAUGCCCCAGGAUUUUCUCCAACCGGGGUCCCGGCUUGGAGCCCUCCUUGGUGCGAGCUUUGGCUCAGCAAUGGGGAAAGCGGGAAUGGGUCUCGCCCUUGUGGCUGCCUGGUGGAAGCGGCGGUUUUGACACACGAAUAGUCGUGGGGAGCAGAUCCAGAGAGGGCGCAUUUGCAAUAAUAACGCUUAGUUUAUCUCUGCCAGAGGGGCGGGAACAGGCCUUCGCGCUGGUGUCUUACAUCAGCCAAGCAAACCAUGGGCGCGAUUGGAGCCAACCACCUCCAGCGGGGUUUUGCUCCAGACUUAAGGUGCACGGAAACCGGAGCAUUCAGCCCUUCAUGGAUGCCUCCCGAAAACCUCACCAUGCCAGUGACACGACUGCAAACGGCGGGUGGCACAUGCCGGGGGCUUGGGAUGGGAGGGUUUGGAAACCUCGCUCCAAGGACGCCCUCAGCCAAGGAGCUUCGGCUCCUUCCUAGAAUUUCUAGAAGCACUUUUGGAGGGACCGAGGGCUUCCGGCCGGGCCCAGAGGAAUUUGAGCGCUUGCCCGGGCAGGCAGAAGCGCAGCCUGGGAGUGGAGAGGCUGCUGGGCCACAUUCCGGCCCAGCUUCCCCCGCUAGGCCCCAGCCCUGCCGCGGCGCCCCAGGAAGCACCUCCGAAAACAAAGCGCUGUGGUUUCAGCCCAAGGUUAAAGUCCACCGCGAGCGUGUUUUUUCCCCCCUCCAGAAUCUAAGAGCGAUAGCGUUUCUCCAAAUAAACCGCCAAUAAAUCAGCUCCCGGGGGCGCCUGCUGAAGAGCUCUGGUGACCUUGGGGGAUGGUUUUUCUGCCUGACCCGUCUGAGCACAGGCUUUGGGGAGGAGGGGGCAGUGUCAGCCCUACCCCUCCAGAGAGACGCGGAAGAGGGAAUGGCCAAGGGCAUUCGUGGGUGAUUACAGCAGUACGUGUGUACCCAGAGGAGAUGGGAGAGGCUUGGAAUGGGGGAAAGGGGCGACUGUGGUUAUCCGGGGGCCUGUAGUGCGCGGUCAGGAGGCGUUUGUGAUUGCGAGGAGGGCUGCUUGCUGUCGGUUCAACGAUUGCUGGAGCGCCGGCGGUGUCGGCACAGGUCUAGGCAUGGGGAAAGCACCACUGGGGACAGACACGGCCGCUUUGGGGCCCCGAGUCUUUGUCUGCCUGGGACUGGAUGUGUUUGUGUCGGUGUGACUAAUGGGAUUUAUGGAUGUCAGUGCCAGGGUGACUGAUGAAGGGCUUGGCAGCACGUGUGUUUGGGGAGAGGCGCUGCACCUAGGUGGGGAGUGGGUGCCCCGGGAGAGGACUGUCCCUUCUCUUAGAGGUUCCUUCCCCCACCCCCUCCCUGCCGGCUCCCAGCUUUGUUUAGGCCUCUGAACCCCUCCGGGGCAGGCCUGUGCACGCCGAGUUCUGCAGCAAAUUCCACGGCCAGCCUGUCCCUCAGAGGCACCUCAGCACGCCCCACCUCUCCCAGCCCCACCUCCCCAGCACACGCCACGCGUCCCAAAUCCAGGCUGUCCCACCCCCUUCCCAGGCAGAGCCUUCCCAGUUUGCUCUUUUCCCAUCUGAACUCCUUAUGGUGUGCUCUGAGCCCUGCUUCAGGCAGGCUUUGACGACCGUAUGGUUUGGGUACCGGCAUACCCAUUUAACAGAUGAAAAAGUUGAGGUGCAGAAAGGAGAUGUGACAAGCCCACGCAGCCAGGAAGUAGCAGGCACCCUGAACUAAACCAGGCAGCUUGCUGGGGACCCCACUGUGGAGGCCCUUUGCCUCUGGGAGCCCCCAGCCUGGCUGAGACUCGCUUAGAGAAGGUAGAGGCAAAGGCCACUCCCAUGACACAGGACACAACCUGCCACCCUUGUACUGUGCGUUAUAACCAUCAGUCCUCCCUGCCACUCGGUAAGGGCUGUCUCCUUCCCUGACCUGGCAUGAGGAAGGAGGGGGGCAGUGAAGGUCAGAGGACUAGUAGGAGAGCCUGGUUUGGCCUGGGGCAGGGUGGGGUGCUGAGGUCAAGGUAACCCAGGGGUCACUUUGGAGAUCAGGAGAGCCGUGGCUGGAAAGCAGGAGCUCCUGUGUGAUUCCACAGAACCUAGCGCAGACUCAGGUUCAGGACAAACCUGGAGAAUCCAUAUCCCCUCUCCCUUGGGAUCAUCUUUUUUUUUUUUUUUUUUUGGAGAGACGGGGGUCUCACUAUGUUACCCAGGCUGGUCUUGAACUCCUGGCCUCAAGCAAUCCUCCCACCUCAGCCUCCCAAAGUGCUGGGAUUACAGGCCCAAACCACCAAGCUUGGCCUCCCUUGGGGUCUCUUCUUUUUUUCUUUUUGAGACAGGGACUCGUUCUGUCGCCCAGGCUGGAGCACAGCGGCACACCCGCAGCUCGCUGCAGCCUCAGCCUCUCGGGCUCAAAAAAUCCUUCUG
rnacentral:lncRNA from 1 species